UAGAUGCCUGUCGGGACCAGGAAGAGUCUCAGAAAACAGACUGGGGAAACCUUCAUUGUCUCUGGGACUCUGCGGACACCAGGACGCCUCCUCCCACUGGGACUCAGGAGUCCACCCCCUCCUCUCUUAGUGACCCAAGAGACCACGCCCCUCCUUCCCAGGAUCCAAGAGUCCCGGCUCUCAUUCUGGGCGCUGACCGUAAGCUGAGGGGUCUGCGAUGUGUUCCUCCAUGAAGCAGCCGAAACCAGAAAGCCCAGGCCUUACUCUGAGCAGAUAGUUGAGCCGGGCCAAGGCCUCCAGGAAGACAUCGGCCCCCUUGUUGGAGAAUUCAUAGCGGCCAGCGAUAAAGAAGUACAAGGUCUUGUCCAAGUUGAAGUCCAGGUGCCUAAAGAAGCCACAACACAAGGUGAAGCCAAGACCCUCGCCCACUAGCCCCAGCCUUGAAACUACAAACCCCAGAAGCCACAGGGGCAAAGAACAUCUUAGGACAGAGGCAUCAUGGGAACUCCUGGGAAUUGUUCUUUUCUCCUUAGAUGGGGAUUUCCUUAAAUACUCAGCCAUUGUUCUGGCGCUCAAGAACUCAAGAGGCUGAGUCCUCAGCUGUCCCCUCUGCUGGCCCCAGGAGUCUGGGUUCCCAACCACCCUCUCUCUCAAGACCUAGGUAUCUGGCCUACAUACCCAUAAAAAUGGCCCCGCACAAACUCCUGGAUUCGAGCCUUGCUCUGAGCAUGGAGGUUCUGGAACUCAUGCAUGGCAGAGAAUUUCUUCACAUUCAGUCCAUUGGGGGUCACGAUAUCUGGGAUUGGGGGAGAAGGUCCCACAUUUCAUUUCUUCAUUUCUUCGUUCAGAUCAAUGUGGCUGAAUGAAUAAAUGAAGGAAAGACCC